UACAGAGGGUGCAAGCGUUAAUCGGAAUUAUUGGGCGUAAAGAGCUCGUAGGCGGUUUGUCGCGUCUGCUGUGAAAACCCGAGGCUCAACCUCGGGCCUGCAGUGGGUACGGGCAGACUAGAGUGCGGUAGGGGAGAUUGGAAUUCCUGGUGUAGCGGUGGAAUGCGCAGAUAUCAGGAGGAACACCAAUGGCGAAGGCAGAUCUCUGGGCCGUAACUGACGCUGAGACGCGAAAGCGUGGGGAGCAAACAGG
rnacentral:rRNA from 1 species